rnacentral:rRNA from 1 species
CCUACGGGAGGCAGCAGUGGGGAAUAUUGCACAAUGGGGGGAAACCCCUGAUGCAGCGACGCCGCGUGGAGGAAGAAGGUCUUCGGAUUGUAAACUCCUGUUGUUGAGGAAGAUAAUGACGGUACUCAACAAGGAAGUGACGGCUAACUACGUGCCAGCA